rnacentral:miRNA from 1 species
UUAGGUUGGUGCAAAAGUUAUUGUGGUUUUUGCCAUUGAAAGUAAUGGCAAAACCGCAAAAACUUUUGCACCAACCUAAUA